UACGAAGGGGGCUAGCGUUGCUCGGAAUCACUGGGCGUAAAGGGUGCGUAGGCGGGUCUUUAAGUCAGGGGUGAAAUCCUGGAGCUCAACUCCAGAACUGCCUUUGAUACUGAAGAUCUUGAGUUCGGGAGAGGUGAGUGGAACUGCGAGUGUAGAGGUGAAAUUCGUAGAUAUUCGGCAAGAACACCAGUGGCGAAGGCGGCUCACUG
rnacentral:rRNA from 1 species